GGGAAAUACAGUUAGAAAACAAGAGCGUACUUCGUAGCAGGAGUCCAAUACAAUCAGGCAACAGGAAGGAAUGCAUCAGAACAUAGUGCUAAAACAGGCAAUGGUGCAGAUUGGGCCCAGAGGCAGAGGACAAACAAAUAAGCAGGAGCAUCAAAGGCAGGGAACGGUGAACACAAAAAGUGGGGGGCACUCAAAGAGCCUCCCCAAACCUGAAACUAGCACCAAACAAACUUAUAGGGCGUUACAGGCAUGGUUUCCUGAGGCUUACAAGAAUUACAGACUGAAUCCCACGACUCUGUAGAUAAAAUUUCCAACAUGAGGGAAACUUCUCCCAGGCUGGCCUCUUUCCUGCAGCCUCUAGAGAACCUCAGAGCAAUCUGCUCCUCAGGACGGAGGCUUUAGUUCACUGGUGGAGAAGGCCCCAAGUUCA